ACUAUGCUUGGCCUUAAACCUCAAUAGUUAGAACAACAAAACUACUCGCCAGAAUACUACAAGCAACAGCUUGAAACUCAAAGGACUUGGCGGUGCUUCACACCCCCUAGAGGAGCCUGUUCCGUAAUCGAUAAACCCCGAUCCACCCUACCCUCUCUUGCUCAGCCUAUAUACCGCCAUCUUCAGCGAACCCUGAUAAAGGUCACAAAGUGAGCACAAUCGCCCUCUCUCGCAAAAACGUUAGGUCAAGGUGUAGCCUAUGAGACGGUAAAAAUGGGCUACAUUUUCUACCUCAGAAAACCCUACGAUAACUCUUAUGAAAUCUAAGAGUCCAAGGAGGAUUUAGCAGUAAAUUAAGAAUAGAGUGCUUAAUUGAACUAGGCCAUAAAGCACGUACACACCGCCCGUCACUCCCCUCAAAUAUAUUUAAGAAUUAUCUUAACUAAACGCUCUAAUAACUAUAUAGAGGGGAUAAGUCGUAACAUGGUAAGUGUACUGGAAGGUGCACUUGGAUAAAU
rnacentral:rRNA from 1 species